rnacentral:rRNA from 1 species
UACAGAGGUCCCAAGCGUUGUUCGGAUUUACUGGGCGUAAAGGGUGCGUAGGUGGUGAGGUAAGUCUGAUGUGAAAUCUCCGAGCUCAACUCGGAAAUGGCAUUGGAAACUACCUUGCUAGAGGGUUGGAGGGGGGACUGGAAUACUUGGUGUAGCAGUGAAAUGCGUAGAUAUCAAGUGGAACACCAGUGGCGAAGGCGAGUCCCUGGACAACUCCUGACACUGAGGCACGAAAGCUAGGGGGAGCAAACAGG